rnacentral:rRNA from 1 species
UACGGGGGGAGCAAGCGUUGUUCGGAUUUACUGGGCGUAAAGGGCGCGUAGGCGGUCAGCCCACGUCAGUUGUGAAAUCUCCGGGCUUAACUCGGAAAGGUCAACUGAUACUGUGCGACUAGAGUGCGGAAGGGGCAACUGGAAUUCUCGGUGUAGCGGUGAAAUGCGUAGAUAUCGAGAGGAACACCGGUGGCGAAGGCGGCCUUCUGGACAGUGACUGACGCUGAGACGCGAAAGCGUGGGGAGCAAACAGG